CAGCUGGACACCUGAUGGAUAUGUGGCUGUGGUGACAAUGUACAAUUUUCAACAAUAUAGGCAUAUUCAAGCACCGGGCUGGAGUUUGGGCUGGACGUGGGCAAAGAAGGAAGUCAUAUGGACCAUGAUGGGAGCUCAAACAACAGAACAGGGAGAUUGUUCAAAAUAUAAAGGAAAUAUUCCACAUUGCUGUAAGAAAGAUCCAACAGUUGUUGACAUGCUGCCUGGAACUCCUUACAACCAACAGAUUGCAAAUUGUUGCAAGGGAGGAGUGAUCAACUCAUGG
rnacentral:misc_RNA from 1 species